AGAGAGGGGGUGGGGGGGAUUGGAUACGCUGAAAUCCAAGCCAGCAAUCUGAGGAUAUCAAUAGCUGUGUUGAUGACCACCUUUGACACACCCCUUGGUAAAGCAUAAGCAGUGAGAUGUUGUCAUCACAUCCAUGAUCGCUGGUAAACGACGGCCACAGUAUCGCACUCCCUGGUGCAUUUGGACGGCACGCAGGUAGCUUCAAUAGUGCCUCAUUUUGGAUCCGACCCCAGAUCCAGCUCCUCUUCCUGAUGCUGUCCAACCUCCAGCCUGCAAGUGGAGCAGGCCUAACGAAUCCAUCAACGAUAGAUGGCUCUGACAUCAAUUUUUAAUGGCGCAAGAGCAGCUGCAGCGAGGGAAGAAAGCGAGGAGAGUCAAACAUUUGGCCGCGACAUUAAAGCCACUGACAGACGGAAGACCUCUAACACCAGGACUCCCCCCAGGAGCAGCAUGAGGAACACGACCAAGAGCCAGAGGUGUAGAUCCAGCCUCCAAACCACACAGAUCCAAAUCUGAUCGAGUAGGAAAGGAUUCCAGUGCCAGACACCACCUCUGGAGACCCUGUACCCAUGCAUUAAUAGGUCUAGAAACACCAGAGGGACCUACACAACAUCAGGCCGGUGGUUUGAAUGUUUCUGAUUGUAUAGAGAACUCCUGACUCUAUUCAAAUGAUUCUUUUUAUUACCCACUUGCAGUUCUUUUCUCAGAUUUAUCUUGUAAUAUUGCAGAACAUUUUAACUAUUCCCCUCUGAUGGUUACAUGUAACAUUUCUGCUACAAAGAAUCAGAAUGGUAAAAGCCUGUUUCUUGCAGUCACUUGUUUUUACAGAAUGACAAUGGU